rnacentral:lncRNA from 1 species
CCUCUGUUCCAGCCUUCUUGCGUCCCUUAUGUUUUCCAGAUGCGCUGACUCAACGUAAAAUAUCCUAAAUGUCAAUCUGUGUCCCCAUCGUCCUAAGGAGAUUAAGAUGGUCCCUGAUCAAGGAUGACAAGCGAACAUAUUAAAAAAAAAAAAUCUCGCCUUUGUGACUGACUGCGUCUAGUUAUCUCAGGGAGCACCCUUAGAAAACCUAAGCUGCCCUACAAGAGUCAGGCUCCUUUAAGGCCCUUCCUUAUCUCGGAGGCGGAACCGGAAGCGCGAGGACGCGGUGCCCAACAUGGCGGCCGCCUGGCCCGCGGGUCGGGCUUCUCCAGCGGCGGGGCCUCCGGCCCUCCUCCGCACUCUGUGGCUCGUGACGGUCGCCGCGGGACAUUGUGGGGCUGCUGCCUCUGGCGCUGUCGGAGGCGAGGAGACGCCCAAGUGUGAGGACCUCAGAGUGGGACAAUAUAUUUGUAAAGAACCAAAAAUAAAUGAUGCUACGCAAGAACCAGUUAAUUGUACAAACUACACAGCUCAUGUUCAAUGUUUUCCAGCACCCAACAUAACUUGUAAGGAUUUGAGUGGUAAUGAAACACAUUUUACUGGAAGUGAAGUUGGUUUUCUCAAGCCCAUAUCUUGCCGAAAUGUGAAUGGCUAUUCAUACAAAGUGGCAGUUGCACUAUCUCUUUUUUUGGGAUGGCUGGGAGCAGAUCGAUUUUACCUCGGAUAUCCUGCCUUAGGCUUGUUAAAGUUUUGCACUGUGGGAUUUUGCGGAAUUGGGAGCCUAAUUGAUUUCGUCCUUAUUUCAAUGCAGAUCGUCGGCCCUUCGGAUGGGAGUAGUUACAUUAUAGACUAUUAUGGAACCAGACUCACGAGACUCAGCGUUACUAAUGAGACAUUUAGAAAAACACAGUUGUAUCCAUGAGUGUUUGAAAGAGGAACAGAUUUGAGCCUCCCUGAUUUCAAUCAAGAGCCCUGUGUGUGGAAUUCCAGAUUUCCUUUUCCUUUAGUAUCACUUUAUGGGUUCUAGAUGAUGUUUGACAUGUGCUCAACCUUGAUUUGUUGAUUUAGUUAGAGUAUACUAUUCCUAGAUUUAUUUAAUAGUCUUUCUUAAAAUCAGUAUACUAUGUUUCGAGGGCUUCUGUCUCUAUGAGACAGCUAGUCUAUCACUUUGUUACUAUUGUAUUACUGUCAUGUCCUUUACACGUCACUUGUCAUUUUUAUUUGUGAAAAAUAAAAAGAUAACUUAUUCACAUUUGACUGACUGUCAUUAAGAAGACCUUUAUUACUGAA